rnacentral:lncRNA from 10 species
UGACAUCCUAAGGAGUUCAGACUUGGCCCUGUAGCAGUGAGAAGGCAGUUAAGGAUUUUAAGCAUUGUGCAAAACAGAGUAAUAGACUGCAGUCUGUCAUGACUAGAAGAAGGGGUCUCAUUGGAAGAAACUGGAGGGACAAAUCAGACUCUGAACAAAACUAGCAGCACUGGGGAUGGAGCAAAGGGAUUGAAUACAAGAUAUAUGAAUGAUGUAAAAUUUACAGGCCAUGGUGACUAUUUGGACACGGGACAUGGAGAGAAGACUGCUCUGGCAGCCUAGGGAGCUGUUGGUUAUCUUUAGGGAUGGGAAGACAUACAAGAAAGCAACCAGUUACUGGAUUAUAUGAGGAAGGCUGUGACAGAGGCCAUACCGGAUGCUGCAGGAACACAGAAAAAGAAGGAUCUACGCCCUUUGAUGAAUUCCCAGGAAGCCUUCCCAGAUGUGUCAGUGGGCUCUUGAAGGGUGCUCAUCUACUGGAAAGGCUUCAACUUUCACCUUUGCUGAUGACGUUCCAGUCCCAGUCUGCCCAAUCUGAAUUCUUCCUCAGCCUCUGCUUAGCUUCCUAUCCUCCGUUCCUUCUCCUAUGAUCUAGGCAGACAUUGAGGAUUAUGCCUGGCACAUUUUCUCAGAGGGCCAAGGCACAGCCUUAAUUUUCUACUCAACUGGGAGCUCUAGGCACCCAUUACCAUUCAGAGUUGGCAUUCGAGACAAAAACUAUUUUUUUCCUGAAUCUAGUCCUUUUAAUUUUAAGCACCUUAAGGAAUAUACCUUUUAAAGUGUCUUGAAGGAUUUCAUUCCCCCAUUCAUUCAGCAAACUGUAAAGAGCUUCCCAUGUGCUGCCUGUUGAAUGCAACAUCCUCCCUCUCAAACCCUCUCCUGCUCAACAGGUCCCCUGCUAUCAAUGAUACCAGCAAUAGCACUGAAAGAAUAAAUAUACACCAGAUAACACAGAGUAAACAUCCAGCAAUAGGACUACUGGGUUACAUGCUCUGCUGGAAAUCCCAUAAACAUGUCUCAAAUAAUUCUGCCAUGAUGGAAAGCAAGAAAAAUGGGACGGGAAGCUGUGUGAGGAAAGAGACUUUACAACCAAGACUUUGAAGCUACAACAAUUCAAUAAUAAAAGAGAAUGAAGAGUUGGGCUCUGGUGUAAUUGAAACUUUUUCUUCCAUCUUUCCUUCCUUAAAAACAAAUCAUAAGUCAAUAUACUGUACCAGAUGUGCUGAGAU